GUUUUAAUAAUUUAAAUAAAAUAUUGGUCUUGUAAACCAAAAAUAAGAAAUUCUUUUAAAACA
rnacentral:tRNA from 1 species